rnacentral:misc_RNA from 1 species
CCUUGACAAGGGCGAGUGACCGGGCGCUGAGUUACGAAUACCUCUUAUUAUUUGUUACUGACAUCAUUCUAAUUAAAAAACUGGUCUAUCAACCUUGACCUCGGUUAAAAAAGAUGCAGACAACGCUGUUUACAGGCACGUCACAUAACCAAUUCGUCUUAAGGUUGACGACGGUCACUUUUCGCGGGUGUUUGUAAAACGCGGACCGGAACGGAACGGAACGGAAUCAGGUGCUGAAGGAUAGAGACUUGUAUAUGAAGAUCGGUAUGUUCACUUCCGUCAACCUCUUCAUCAUGGUCGUGUGGUCAGUGAUCGAUCCUAGCCGGCCAAAAGCAAUACUCAUGCAUAGCCGUGUGAAUAUCACAGUAAUGAACGACUCGAAACCGAUCGCGCUGUGCAUCUACAUUGUAAUCCUGCUGUCUAUAGUGGGCCUGCCGGUGUCACUGAUCCAGAAUGAUAACAAUCCCAACGUCUCGUUCAGUGUCAUCAGCAUCCUCAUCAUUACUGGUACAACAUCUACGCAAUGUAAUAUAUUUUUUCCAAAGGUAGAUGCAUUACUCAAGUUUCUUAGAGGUGAGAAAACUGAAAGCAAAUCAAGCCAACAGGCGACGUCAAUUCCCCGAGUUGGUACAACUAUGGAUAGCAUUCAUAACUGAAUUGGUUAUUGGCUGUCUCAGCUUGGUGUAUUUAUUUCUAUAAAGCUACUUAUUUACACUUUAUUAAACUAUUAUUUAUCUUGCAAUGAACACAAAACAGUCAUAUUACCUCUUACCCCAGCCAUAUUUAACUCAACCCUGUGUGCCAGAAUACACGUCUAGUCCAAAUAUAUGUGUGGUAUAGGUUCACAAACACACCACAGUCAAACUCACAAUUAUUUGAUAUUACAUUAUUUGCACAUUUGUUCUUUUAUUAUCCAUAUAAAUUAUGUAAACAGUAUUAAAAAUAUGGAGUUUCACUAAA